rnacentral:lncRNA from 10 species
AAAACUUGUUUUUUUUGAAAAAAGAUUUAUGGCUGAGGCUUCUAUGACAACAGACAGAUUAACUAGAGGAAAGCACACACCAAACAGGAGCCUUCAGAAAUGAAGACUCAAAGACAGAGGUAAACUUGUGUAUUUUUGUACUAAGUCUGAUGAAGAAGUGGAUAAUUGUUAAGAAGUAUGAUUGGAGGACAGAGGGUAGAGUCUAUUAAUAAUAAACUUGGAGGAGCUUAAAAAGUC